AACACUGGCUGCAUUGAGGACGAAGGCCACUCAGAUGAACAGAUGUAGGGAGGGAGUUCCAGGGGCAAGACGCUGCUGGGGACACCACAGGCUGAGUCCCACCUUCCCUGCAGGAUACCCCCGCCCCUUGCCCACCAAGCCUGUGGGCACAGGGCAAGGUGGGAGGAUCGCUUGAGACUGGGAGGUCAAGGUUGCGGUGAGCUGUGAUUGCACCACUGCACCCCAGCCAGGGCAACAGAGGGAGACACUGUGUCAAUCAACCAAUCAAUUAAUAAGAGUGGCGGACGGCUUGGAUGUGGGGAGCAAGAGAAGAAAAAGUCAAUGGAGCAGAAUUGCCGGGUCACACGCUGGGAAGAACCCAAUGUUUGUGUCCUCCCAAAAUGCACAAGUCAAAAUCCCAACCCUCAAGAUGAUGGGAUUAGGAGGCGAGGCCUUGGGAGGUGAGGAGGUCGUGAGGGUGAAGCCUCAUGAAUGGGAAUCGUGCCCCCAAUAAAGAGGCCUGAGAGAGCUCCCUCGCCCCUUCUUCCACAUGAGGACCCAGUGAGAAGGCGCCGGAUAUGAGCCAGGAAGGGGACUUCGGAGGACAGCAAAUCUGCCACACCUCCAUCUAGAACUUCCAGCCCCCAGAAGUGUGAGCAAAAAGUGUCCGCUGUUUAUAAGCCACCCAGGCUGUGGCAUUUUUGUUACAGUCCAGAUGGGCUAUGACAUACAGGAAUUCUGUUUCACCCUCUGAGGACCUGCCAGGCUAUUUUACAAAGUGGCUGCACCAUUUCACGUUCCCACCAGCAUUGCGUGCAGGCUCCCAGGCAGAGACACUGUGCUUCUCUCUCCUGGGAACUGUCACCUACAGCAGGCACCAACCUGGGCAGCAGUCGGCUGGAGAACCACGUCAUCAAUGAGCUUCCGGGGAAGGAGUGGAGACAGAUGAGCCUGCAGUGUGGUCAUUGCCAGGACUGAGCCAGCACCGGGAAGCUGCGGGAGCCACUGGCUGGGGGCGGCAGGGACUGCCCCAGACUCACAGGGAGAGGGGUGUUCACCAAGGGCUUCUAGGGAGAGGCCACGCCGUGGAAGAGUGAAACCCAGCAGGCCACAGGACGGAGCAGCCAGCAUGGACUCAGCUCUGUCUAUAUGGGUCCUGAGUCCCGUUCCCACGUGAUAACCAGUGACUACACUGACAGACACAAUUUUAGCUAAGAGCAAGAUGUUUGCAGGGGUAGACUGUGCAGUCUUCCCAUGGGAAUGUGUGGAGCUGCCGUGGGGUUCUUUGGAAAUAGGACAAGUGCCACGGGGACCCGUUACCUCUGAGGACCCCUAACUAUGAAGCUAUUAACCCUGUAACGGACUUGGCUAACAACUUGAGCAAAGCACUCAGACCUGACUCCCAGCAGAGCAGCCCAGCCAGGCUGAGAGCAGGGGAUUCGGGGGCUCCUAGACAGGGGUGUGAGUCCAGUUUCCCCAUCACCACAGGCUGAACUGUGUUCCCUCAAAAAAGAGAUGUUGAAGUCCUAACCCCUAGGACCUAAGGAUGAGGGCUUAUUUGGAAAUAGGGUCUUUGCCGAUGUAAUCGAGCUGAGGUUGUAAGCGUGGCCCUGUCCAAUAGGACCGGUGUCCUAUUAAGAUGAGAAGAGAGAGACACCGGGAGGGUGUCAAGUGCAGGCGCAGAGGCCUGGGGAGGGGACGGACGGCUGUGCAGCGACAGAGGUGAAGAAGGAGCAAGGCGCCUGCGAGCCCCGGAACACGGAGGACUGCCAGCAGCCCUGGGGUGGGAGGGGCAGGAGGGCCCUCCCCAGAACCCUCGGCCCAUGUCCUGACUUCAGAUUGUGGCCGCAGAGCCAGCGAGAAGAAAGCUCUGCUGUUGGCGCCAUGUCGGUGCUGCUGUGUGAAAGCAGCCGCAGGAAGCAAACACGCCCGUGUUGAUGACUUCGCUGGGACAAUAAACCGAGCAAAGAUACUUCCAAAUCUUCAACACCUGUCCAGUAUUCCCAUUAGAAAGCAACCCCAAAUAAAACAACACGAAGGCCGGAGAAGCACGCCAGGUCUGUCACACUGUAGACUGGAGGUGGGCCUGGAGUCACACCAGAGCCUGUGGCCCCCACCCUGAGCACCAGGGCACCACAGGGCAACGCCAUCUCAGGCCUGGCUUUCCUGCAUUCCCUACAUGCUGCUGCCAACCACACAAGACAGCUGAUUCCAUUUACACCCAAAUCCUUCGCCACAGCAUGGGGUGACAGCAGGCCACCAACUUCACAGGCAGACCCUCACCCCUACGGCCUCACAGUGGACGGCUCCCGGGAUGAUUCCUCACUCCGUGAAGCUGUUGGCAGAGAAUGUUACAUGGCAGCGUCACCACCCACAGGCCUCCUCCCAGCUACUAGAUGCCAGCCACCUUUCUUUACGAAUAAAAUACGUUAAUUAAA